rnacentral:rRNA from 1 species
GAUGAACGCUGGCGGCGUGCCUAAUACAUGCAAGUCGAGCGAACAGACGAGGAGCUUGCUCCUCUGACGUUAGCGGCGGACGGGUGAGUAACACGUGGAUAACCUACCUAUAAGACUGGGAUAACUUCGGGAAACCGGAGCUAAUACCGGAUAAUAUAUUGAACCGCAUGGUUCAAUAGUGAAAGACGGUUUUGCUGUCACUUAUAGAUAGAUCCGCGCCGCAUUAGCUAGUUGGUAAGGUAACGGCUUACCAAGGCAACGAUGCGUAGCCGACCUGAGAGGGUGAUCAGCCACACUGGAACUGAGACACGGUCCAGACUCCUACGGGAGGCAGCAGUAGGGAAUCUUCCGCAAUGGGCGAAAGCCUGACGGAGCAACGCCGCGUGAGUGAUGAAGGUCUUCGGAUCGUAAAACUCUGUUAUUAGGGAAGAACAAAUGUGUAAGUAACUAUGCACGUCUUGACGGUACCUAAUCAGAAAGCCACGGCUAACUACGUG